GCGUAACGGAGAAUAAGGGUUCGACUCCGGAGAGUUCGCCUGAGAAAUCGCGAACACAUCUAAGGAAGGCAGCAGGCGCGAAAAUUACCCACUCUCAGCACGAGGAGGUAGUGACGAAAAAUAACGAGACCGUUCUCUUUCGAGGCCGGUCAUCGGAAUGGGUACAAUUUAAACCCUUUAACGAGUAUCUAUGAGAGGGCAAGUCUGGUGCCAGCAGCCGCGGUAAUUCCAGCUCUCAAAGUGCAUAGAAUUAUUGCUGCGGUUAAAAAGCUCGUAGUUGGAUCUGUGCCAUAGGACGGGGUCUUUCCUAACGGAUUUGUACUUCGCUCCUAGGCUUUUCAGUCGGUUUUCCCGUAAUUGCAUUCAUUUGUCGUUGCGGGUGGCUGACGAGUUUACUUGAGAAAAUCAGAGUGCUCAAUACAGGCGUCUAGCUUGAAUGAUUGUGCAUGGAAUAAUAGAAAAGGAUUUCGGUCCUCUUUUAUUGGUUUUGUGGACUGAGAUAAUGGUUAACAGGGACAAACCGGGGCAUUCGUAUCGCUGCGUGAGAGGUGAAAUUCUUGGACCGUAGCGAGACGCCCUACUGCGAAAGCAUUUGCCAAGAAUGUCUUCAUUAAUCAAGAACGAAAGUCAGAGGUUCGAAGGCGAUCAGAUACCGCCCUAGUUCUGACCGUAAACGAUGCCAACUAGCGAUCUGCCGGUGGAUUUUUAGCCCUGGUAGGUAGCUUCCCGGAAACGAAAGUCUUCCGGUUCCGGGGGAAGUAUGGUUGCAAAGCUGAAACUUAAAGGAAUUGACGGAAGGGCACCACCAGGAGUGGAGCCUGCGGCUUAAUUUGACCCAACACGGGGAAACUCACCCGGCCCGGACACCGUAAGGAUUGACAGAUUGAUAGCUCUUUCAUGAUUCGGUGGUUGGUGGUGCAUGGCCGUUCUUAGUUCGUGGAUCGAUUUGUCUGGUUUAUUCCGAUAACGAGCGAGACUCUAGCCUACUAAAUAGUAACGAGAUUGCUAUUGUCUUAGUUGCUUCUUAGAGGGAUUUUCGGUGUUUAGCCGCACGAGAUUGAGCAAUAACAGGUCUGUGAUGCCCUUAGAUGUCCGGGGCUGCACGCGCGCUACACUGGCAAAAUCAGCGUGCUGUAUCCAUUCUCGAAAGGGAUUGGUAAACCCAUGAAAAUUUGCCGUGAUUGGGAUCGGAAAUUGCAAUUAUUUUCCGUGAACGAGGAAUUCCAAGUAAGUGCGAGUCAUCAACUCGCUCUGAUUACGUCCCUGCCCUUUGUACACACCGCCCGUCGCUGCCCGGGACUGAGCCAUUUCGAGAAGAUCAGGGACCGAUGAAUUGUGGCCUCUUCGCGGAGGUUCGGUUCGUUGGAAACUGAUUUGAUCGCAGUGGCUUGAACCGGGCAAAAGUCGUAACAAGGUA
rnacentral:rRNA from 1 species